rnacentral:rRNA from 1 species
GACGUAGGGGGCAAGCGUUGUUCGGAAUUAUUGGGCGUAAAGCGCUCGUAGGCGGGACUGGAAGUCCGUGUUGAAAGACCUCGGCUCAACUGAGGGACCGGCUCGGAUACUCUAGUUCUUGAGGCAAUCAGAGGGUGAUGGAAUUCCCGGUGUAGCGGUGAAAUGCGUAGAGAUCCGGAGGAAGACCGGUGGCGAAGGCGGUCUGCUGGGCAGUUUCUGACACUGAGGCGCGACAGCGUGGGGAGCAAACAGG